AUUGUUGAAAGGGAAACGAUUGAAGUCAGUCGUACAGACGAGAAAUCAACCUUUGGAGCGUGGGUAGCGAUACUCGAGUUCUGUGGGUGUACUUUCUCGCUUUGUAGGUUAGCGUCGGUUUCGAACGUUAUAAAAUGAUUGGAGGAAUGUAGCUUUGACUUCGGUCGAAGUGUUAUAGACUCUGGUAAAUGUGACGGACGGGACCGAGGAUUGCAACGGAUACCCUCACGGGCUAUCUGCCUGACCUCUGAUGCGCCACUCUGGUGUUGAAAGCUUGCUUAUGAUAUCGGAGCGUACGUUCAAAAGGUUAGAGCGGGUUAAAUUCGUUAAGGACGCUGACGUAAUGGCUUUAAACGACC
rnacentral:rRNA from 1 species